AAUGGACAAAAGAUCUUAAGGAUAUAAAAAUAUAUGCUAAAAGUAUAUUUUUAUAAAAGCUAUUGAUAGUCUUCAUAGAAUAUUAGAUGGGUGUAUUUAUUAAAGGAUGAAAGUUAUCUAUUAAGAUAACAACCACCACCUAUAAGUAAUAGAUGUUUUAGAAGUGAGAGAUAUCUUAUUUCAUACUUUCAUUGUGAGCAACCUUGCUAAUGUUAUGUAUUGGUGACUUCAAAGUUAUUUUUCUUCAAUACUAUUGAAUAUGACCAUAUUUUAUA
rnacentral:lncRNA from 1 species